ACGCUGGCGGCAUGCCUAACACAUGCAAGUCGAACGAGACCUUCGGAUCUAGUGGCGCACGGGUGCGUAACGCGUGGGAACCUGCCUUUAGGUUCGGAAUAACUCAGAGAAAUUUGAGCUAAUACCGGAUAAUGUCUUCGGACCAAAGAUUUAUCGCCUUUAGAUGGGCCCGCGUUGGAUUAGCUAGUUGGUGGGGUAAAGGCCUACCAAGGCGACGAUCCAUAGCUGGUCUGAGAGGACGAUCAGCCACACUGGGACUGAGACACGGCCCCAGACUCCUACGGGAGGCAGCAGUGGGGAAUAUUGGACAAUGGGCGAAAGCCUGAUCCAGCAAUGCCGCGUGAGUGAUGAAGGCCUUAGGGUUGUAAAGCUCUUUUACCCGAGAUGAUAAUGACAGUAUCGGGAGAAUAAGCUCCGGCUAACUCCGUG
rnacentral:rRNA from 1 species